UACGGCCAUAUCACGUUGAAACAAUGUCUCUUGUACGAUCACUGAAGUUAAACAACGUCGAGCUUGUUCAGUACCUAGAUGGGUGACCGCUUGGGAAUAGCAAGCGCUGUAAG